rnacentral:rRNA from 1 species
AGAACGAACGUUAGCGGUGUGGAUUAGGCAUGCAAGUCGAGCGCGAAAGCCCGCAAGGGUGAGUAAAGCGGCGAAAGGGUGAGUAAUACGUAGCCAACUUACCCCUGAGACCGGAAUAACCGACGGAAACGUUGGCUAAUGCCGGAUGGCCCUUCUGGGAGGCAUCUCCUGGCUGGUAAACGGUGGCGCAAGCUGCUGCUCGGGGAGGGGCUAUGGGAUAUCAGCUAGUUGGUGGGGUAAUGGCCUACCAAGGCGAUGACGUCUAGCCGGUCUGAGAGGAUGGUCGGCCACAUUGGGACUGAGACACUGCCCAAACUCCUACGGGAGCUGCAGUCGAGGAUCUUCGCAAUGGGACGAAAGCCUGACGGAGCGACACCGCGUACAGGAUGGAACGGCCUUCGGGUUAGUAAACGUGUUGUCACGCUAGUACGGAACCCUUGGUGUUAA